rnacentral:lncRNA from 1 species
GAGGGCGUUCGGCGACGUUACUGGGGCUGCACGGUGCUUGUAGCUGGGCAGUCUUAUCAUCAGAGUGGAGCCUGGUAACCACGACCUCCCCGCCAGGUCCUGUGUGUUGCUAGCUGGAGAAGGGUAGUUGAAAACUCAGACCAAGCACAGUGUUUAUAUCGGUCAAAACUGGAAAACUAUGUCCGGGCGCAGCCGAGGCUGGAGGAUCCCUUCAGGCCAAGAGCAACCUAGCAAUAUGGCGCGACCGGAUCUCUGUAGUCCUACCUCAACCCCCAGCUACUUGAACCCCAAGGUUGAAGGCUCCAGUGAGCUAUGAUCCCACCACAGCAUUGCAGCCUGCCAGACUGAGACAAAGUUUCACACUUGUUGCUGGAGUUGCAAUCUCGGCUCACCACAACCUCUGCCUCCCGGAUUCAAGAGAUUCUCCUGCCUCAGCCUCCCAAGUAGCUGGGACUACAGGUGUGCAUCACCCUGCCCAGCUGGAGUUUUGCUCUUGUCGCCCAUGCUGGAGUGUGAUCCUGGCUCACUGCAAUCUCUGCCUCCCAAGUUCAAGCGAUUCUCCUAGCUCAGCCUCCUGAGCAGCUGGGAUGACAGGCACUUGCCACAACGCCUGGCUAAUUUUUCUAUGUUUAGUAGAGAUGGGGUUUCACCAUGUUGGCCAGGCUGGUCUUGAACUCCUGACUUCGUGAUCUGUCUGCCUCAGCCUUCCAAAGUGUUGGGAUUACAGCCAUGAGCCACCAUGGCCAGCCUUUCUUUUCUUUUCAAAGCCACCCUUGGUGAUGAAAUGUAAAAUAUGCACCAGUGAAUAUUACUUUGCUGAAUAUUGCCUAGUGAAUAUUAAGUAUUUAUUCUCACCUUUCAGACAUGAACUUAUGAAUUCAACACAUGAAGACUUACAACUUGAUAAACCAGCUUCAGGAGGCUGGAGUGCAAUGGUGCGAUCUGGGCUCACUGCAACCUCUACCUCCUGGGUUCAAGCGAUUCUCCUGUGUCAGCCUCCUGAAUAGCUGGGAUCACAGGCAUGUACCACUACACCCAACUAAUUUUUUUUUUUGUAUUUUUUGUAGUGAUGGGGUUUCACCAUGUUGGCCAGGCUGGUCUUAAGCUCCUGACCUCAGGUGAUCCACCCGCCUUGGCCUUCCAGAGUGCCGAGAUUACAGGUGAGAGCCACCGAACUCUGCCAGGAGUGGAUUAUUUUUAUGCUUCACCUUUUAGACCACAGAGAAUAACUUCCUGAUGUUGCCAUGGCAUUUGUAAACUGCCAUGGCAUUGGUGGGAGUGUAGCAGUGAGGAUGACCAGAGGUCACUCUCGUCAUUAUCUUGGUUUUGGCUGGCUUUUUUACUGCAACUCAUUUUAUCAGCAAGGUCUUUAUGACCUGUAUAUUGUGCUGACCUCCUCCGUCACCCUGUGACUUAGAAAGCCUUAACCAUCUGGGAAUGUAGCUCAGUAGGUCUCAGCCUCAUUUUACCCAGCUCCUAUUUAAAAUCAAGUUGCUCUCAUUUAAAUGCCUAUGACAGUAUUGCUGCUUUCUUUAAGGUUCCUGAAAGGGAGAGAGGAAAUCUUCGAUUUUUCAUGGCUGUGAACCACUGCAAGUAUUGAAGAAAUAUUUACUACUUCCAGCCUCAUAAUCCUGCAGUCAUUUGGCACCUGUGAGUCAGGUGUGGGGGGAACUACCCCAUACAUUCUGGAGCAUUCAAUCUGGUGGGGAAAGGUGUAGUAAGUAGGAGAUAUUUACUACAUAAGGUGUUAAGGUCUGGGAUAGAAUUAGGUAGAAUAAGGGGAUGGGGAGGCAGGGGGUGUGACUGGGGCAGCCUUGAUGAUAAGUGAGGAGCACAUUCUGCAGUUGGUCUCACCUCUUUCUGAAACUUCCACUUUUUUCACUCUCAACUUCAACAAUUGGUUCUUUUUUAUUUUAUAGAAAGUUUGUUAGAAUUAGGUUUAUAUAUUUUCUUGCUGAAUUAACAGGAUAAUUUUAUUUAACAUCACUCUCUAGUGUGACUGAAAGCCUCUAAUCCUUUACUGUUAUUUGUUUAUGGGCAUAUUUGUUUUUACAGCUAUGAUAAUUAUUUCAUUUUGUGUGGUUUCUCAAAAACAUGUGUUUCUUAUAUCAAAGAGUCUGUAUACUAGAGUCUUUCAGAUUUGGUGCUAAUAACAUUAAGUAAGAAUUUAAGACAAGUCUUGAGAUGUUAGAGGAAAGCCAGUCUAGGAACAAAUAAAGUAAUUAUUAAUUUAUUUAUUUUGAGUUGACAUUUAAGUUGAGGUGUGGAGGUGGAGGAGACAGUUGGAUAAAUGAGUUUGGAAGUAAGGAGAAAGAUCUGGCAAUAGAUAUAAUUUUGGAUUUUAUAGUGGUGUUUUGAUAGCAAUUGUUGCUAUCGCCAAAAUAAUUCAUCAACGAGCUCCCUGACAGCUCCCUGACCUUUCUUUUUAAAGAAACAGGGUUGGCCGGGUGCGGUGGCCCAUGCCUGUAAUCCCGGCAUUUUGGAAGGCAGUUCACCUGAGGUCAGGAGUUUGAGACCAGCCUGACCAACAUGGAGAAACCCCAUCACUACUAAAAAUACAAAAUUAGCUGGGUGUGGUGGUGUUUGCCUGUAAUCCCAGCUACUCUGGAGGCUGAGGCAGCAGAACUGCUUGAGCCCAGCAGCCAGAGGUUGCAGUGAGCCGAGAUCACACCAUUACACUCCAGCCUGGGCAACAAGAGUGAAACUGCAUCUUAAAAAAAAAAAAAAAAAAGAAACAGGGUCUUCUUAUGUUCUCUGGGCUGGACUAGAACUCCUAUGCUCACGUUAUCCUCCUGCCUCAGUCUCCAAGUAGCUGGGGCUAUAGGCACAUGCCAGCAUGUCCAGCUUUGAGCCACUCCCACCCAUCAUGUUGCAAAAUAUUUAAAUGUUACAUACAGAGAUGCGAGGGAGAUGUGCAUAUAAGCAGCACCAUGUAAAUUGCUUGAAUCUUUUUUUUAGAGUUCUGUUUGGAUGUGGCUUCAGAGCAGGGAUUAGUCAAUUCAUUUUUACUUUUUUUAUUUUCUGAGGUGGAUUCUCACUCUGUCACCCAGGCUGGAGUGCAGUGGCAAAAUCUCAGCUCACUUCAGCCUCCGCCUCGUGGAUUCUCUUGCCUCAGCCUCCUGAGUAGCUGGGAUUACAGGUGCCUGCCACAAUACCCGGCUGAUUUUUGUUUGUUUGUUUAUUGUAUUUUUGGUAGAGACAGGCUUUCACCAUGUUGACCAGGCUGGUCUCGAAAUCCUGACUCAUGUGAUCCACCUGCCUCGGCCUCCCAAAGUGCUGGGAUUACAGGUAUGAGUCACUGCGCCUGGCUGUUUUAUUUUACAUUUUUAAAUCACAAUUUUUAUACCUAUUCAAAAGUAGAGAAAAUAGUACAAUGACCACUAAAAUACCCAUUCCUCAAUUUCUGUGAUCUUUAAGAUUGUCCCACAUUUUGUUCUAUUCCUUUACCUCCCUUUGCAGGAAUAUUGUAAAGCACAUCAGUCAUCACAUCAUUUUAUCUGUUCAGUGUGCAUCCCCGAACAACAUUUACAUAUUCCUACACAGCCAGUAUCUCAUCACAUCUGACAAAAUUAACAACGAUUUUUUUGUUGUCAGCUCAUAUGCAGCCCUUAGUUGAGUUUCCUCACUCUUUUCUUUUCUUUUUUUUUUUUUUUUUUUUGAGACAGAGUCUUGUCCUGUCGCCCAGGCUGGAGUACAAUGGCGUAAUCUCGGCUCACUGCAGCCCCUGCCCCCUGUGCUCCAGUGAUUCUCCUGCCUCAGCUUCCUGAGUAGCUGGGAUUACAGGCACAUGCCACCACACCCGGCUAAUUUUUGUAUUUUUAGUAGAGAUGGGGUUUUGCCAUAUUGGCCAGGCUGGUCUUGAACUCCUGACCUCAGGUGAUCCUGCCACCUCGGCCUCCCAAAGUGCUGGGAUUACAGGCAUGAGCCACUACACCCAGCCAAGUUUCUCACUCUUACCUGGACGGUAUCUCAUUUUCUCAUUAUCUGAAAAAUUUUGCUUUAAAUCUGGAUCCAAAAAAUCUUCACGUGCUAACUUUGGUUGUUAUGCUUCUUGUAAUCUAAACUGGCCUCUGCUUACUUUUUUUAUUUCCCAAUUCAUGAAUUCUAUGUGCAGAGUUUUUAUAUAUAUAUAUAUAUCUUGCUCACGAGGUUGAAGGGGUAAAGAACAUUGAUCUUGUUGUUUCAGUGUAGAUGAAAGUUUAGCCUGAAAUGUGCCAGUUUGCAGCAGCCAAUGGAGGAGGGUUAUUACAGUCAUGAACAGUUCAUAGCAAAAGGCUGCUUCCAAAUAGUAUUUGCAGGCCGGGCGCAGUGGCUCAUGCCUGUAAUCGCAGCCCUUUGGAAGGCAGAGAUGGGUGCAUCACUUGAAGUUAGGAGUUUGAGACCAGCCUGGCCAACAUGGUGAAACCCUGACUCUACUGAAAAGUACAAAAGUUAGCCAGGCAUGGUGGCGGGCACCUGUAAUUUUAGCUACUCAGGAGGCUCAGGCAAGAGAAUCACUUGAACCCAGGAGGCAGGGGUUGGAAUGAACCGAGAUCAUGCUACUGCACUCCAGCCUGGGUGACAGAGCAAGACUCCAUCUCAAAAAAGAAAAAAAACAAAACAAAUAGUAUUUAGGUUGUAUUCUUUAUUGUCUAUAAUGAUUUUCUUUCUCUCUCUUCUUCCUAAGGAUAUUGAAAAAUAGAGUUCAAUCUUUUAAGAUCUUAGAGUUAUUAAGAUUGUCUUGGGACCAGGGCACUUAAAUUUGCCAAAAUCAGGCUGUUAAUGAUGGGUAAUUUUUAUUUAUUUAUUUAUUUAUCUGUUUAUUUAUUUAUUUUUGAGAUGGAGUCUCGCUCUGUCACCCAGACUGGAGUGCAGUGGCGCUAUCUCUGCUCACUGCAAGCUCUGCCUCCCAGGUUCACGCCAUUCUCCUGCCUCAGCCUCCUGAGUAGCUGGAACUACAGGUGCCCGCCACCACACCCAGCUGAUUUUUUGUAUUUUUAGGAGAGAUGGGGUUUCACCGUGUUAGCCAGGAUGGUCUCGAUCCCCUGACCUCGUGAUCUGCCCGACUCGGCCUCCCAAAGUGUUGGGAUUACAGGCGUGAGCCACUGUGCUUGGCUAUUCUUCUUAUUAUUAUUUUAAUUUUUAAAAUUUUUAUUUCUCAGCCUUGGGAUUCUGAUAUGUAAACAUGCAAGUAUCUUCAAAGAUAGAAAACAUACACAGUUAUCAUUAAAAUGGGAGAACUCAGAAUAUACAAUCAUGGAGCAGUGCCCUCCACCAGCCCCCCAGCUAACUACAGCUGCAAGCAUGAUUCUCAUGCUCUCUCGUACCUAGUGUUCAACUAGUGACACAGCUUCUUCACUCAUGGGGAAGGGCCAUCAGCAAAUGGCACUCAAGCAUGGUGGCUUGAGAAAGAUCCCACACACUCGAGGCCAUGUUGGAGACAUUUCAUGAAAGGAUUAGGUGGGUUACCCCUGGCUUUCUGCUCCAGAGUUUAUCAAGACUGAUAUUAAAGUAAAUGCAUUGUAAGCCACACAUACAAGUUGUGGAGUGAAGUAAACAGAGUGAUUUUUUUGUUUGUCCUGUUUUAUAGGCUUUAAUUAAAUUGUGGCCUUGGAUUGGGGGCAGGAUUUUGUGAUUAUUUUUAUUUUUAUUAUACUUGAAGUUCUGGGGUACAUGUGAAGAAUGUGCAGUUUUGUUACAUAGCUAUACACACGUGCCAUGGUUGUUUGCUGCACCCAUCAACCCCUCAUCUACAUUAGGUAUUUCUCCUAGUGCUAUCCCUUCUUUAGCCCCCAACCCCCCGACAGGCCCCGAUGUGUGAUGUUCCCCUCCCUGUGUCCAAGUGUUCUCAUUGUUCAACUCCCACUUAUGAGUGAGAACAUGCAGUUUUUGGUUUUCUGUUCUUGUAUUCGUUUGCUAAGAAUGAUGAUUUCCAGCUUCAUCCAUGUUCCUGCAAAGGACAUGAACUCAUCCUUUUUUAUGCCUGCAUAGUAUUCCAUGGUGUAUAUGUGCCACAUUUUCUUUAUCCAGUCUAUCAUUGAUGAACUUUUGGGUUAGUUCCAAGUUUUUGCUAUUGUGAAUAGUGCCACAAUGAACAUACUUGUGUAUGCAUCUUUAUAGCAGAAUGAUUUAUAAUCCUUUAGGUAUAUGCCCAGUAAUGGGAUUGCUGGAUCAAAUGGUAUUUCUGGUUCUAGAUCCUUGAGGAAUCGCUACACUGUCUUUCACAAUGGUUAACCUAAUUUACAUGCCCAACAACUGUGUAAAAGCAUUCCUAUUUCUCCACAUCCCCUCCAGCAUCUUCUGUUUACUGACUUUUUAAUGAUCACCAUUCUAACUGGAGUGGUUUUGAUUUGCAUUUCUCUAAUGACCAUUGAUGAUGAGCUUUUUUUCAUCUGUUCUUUAGCUGCAUGAAUGUCUUCUUUUGAGAAGCGUCUGUUCAUAUCCUUUGCCCACUUUUGAUGGGGUUGUUUUUUUCUUGUAAUUUUGUUUAAGUUCUUUGUAGAUUCUGGAAAUUAGCCGUUUGUCAGAUAGACAGAUUGCACAAAUUUUGUCCCAUUCUGUAGGUUGCUUGUUCACUCUGAUGAUAGUUUCUUUUGCUGUGCUGUGCUCUUUAGUUUAAUUAGAUCCCAUCUGUCAAUUUUGGCUUUUGUUGCCAUUGCUUUUGGUGUCCUUUUAGUCAUGAAGUCUUUGCCCAUGCCUAUGCCCUGAAUGGUAUUGCCUAGGUUUUCUUCUAGGGUUUUUAUGGUUUUAGGUCUUACGUUUAAGUCUUUAAUCCAUCUUGGGUUAAUUUUUGUAUAAGGUGUAAGGAAGGGGUCCAGUUUCAGUUUCUGCAUAUGGCUCAAGCAGUUUUCCCAACACCAUUUAUUAAAUAGGGAAUCCUUUCCCCAUUGCUUGUUUUUGUCAGGAUUGUCAAAGAUCAGAUGGUUGUAGAUGUGUGAUGUCAUUUCUGAGGCCUCUGUUCUGUUCCAUUGGUCUAUAUAUCUGUUUCAGUACCAGUACCAUGCUGUUUCGGUUACUGUAGCCUUGUAGUAUAGUUCGAAGUCAGGUAGCGUGAUACCUCCAUCUUUGUGCUUUUUGCUUAGGAUUGUCUUGGCUAUGCGGGCUCUUUUUUGGUUCCAUAUGAAAUUUAAAGUAGUUUUUUCCAAUUGUGUCAAGAAAGUCAAUGGUAGCUUGAUAGGGAUAGCAUUGAAUCUAUAAAUUACUUUGGGCAGUAUGGCCAUUUUUACAAUAUUGAUUCUUCCUAUCCAUGAGCAUGGAAUGUUUUUCCAUUUAUUUGUGUCCUCUCUUAUUUCCUUGAGGAGUGGUUUGUAGUUCUCCUUGAAGAGGUCCUUCACAUCCCUUGUAAGUUGUAUUCCUAGGCAUUUUAUUCUCUUUGUAGCAGUUGUGAAUGGUAGUUCACUCAUGAUUUGGCUCUCUAUUAUUGGUGUAUAGGGAUGCUUGUGAUUUAUGCACAUUGAUUUUGUAUCCUGAGACUUUGCUGAAGCUGAUUAUCAGCUUAAAGCGAUUUGGGGCUGAGACGAUGGGGUUUUCUAAAUAAACAAUCAUGCCACCUGGAAACAGAAAUUUGACUUCCUCUCUUCCUAAUUGAAUACGCUUUCUUUCUUUCUCUUGCCUGAUUACCCUGGCCAGAACUUCCAAUACUAUGUUGAAUAGGAGUGGUGAGAGAGGGCAUCCUUGUCUUGUGCCAGUUUUCAAAGGGAAUGCUUCCAGUUUUUGUCCAUUCAGCAUGAUGUUGGCUGUGGGUUUGUCAUAAAUAGCUCUUAUUAUUUUGAGAUAUGUUUCAUCAAUAUCUAGUUUAUUGAGAGUUUUUAGCAUGAAGGGUGUUGAAAUUUGUCGAAGGCCUUUUCUGCAUCUAUUGAGAUAAUCAUGUGGUUUUUAUCAUUGGUUCUGUUUAUGUGAUGGAUUACAUUUGUCCAUUUGCGUAUGUUGAACAAGCCUUGCAUCCCAGGUAUGAAGCUGACUUGAUUGUGGUGGAUAAGCUUUUUGAUGUGUUGCUGGAUUUGAUUUGUCAGUAUUUUAUUGAGGAUUUUCACAUCGAUGUUCAUCAGGGAUAUUGGCCUGAAAUUUUCUUUUUUGUUGUGUCUCUGCCAGGUUUUAUCUGGGUGAUGCUGGCCUCAUAAAAUGAGUUAGGGAAGAGUCCCUCUUUUUCUGUUGUUUAGAAUAAUUUCAGAAGGAAUGGUACCAGCUCCACUUUGUACUUCUGUUGGAAUUCAGCUGUGAAUCUGUCUGGUCCUGGACUUCUUUUGGUUGGUAGGCUAUUAAUUACUGCCUCAAUUUCAGGACUUGUUACUGGUCUGUUCAGGGAUUUGGCUUCUUCCUGGUUUAGACUUGGGAGGGUGUAUGUGUCCAGGAAUUUAUCCAUUUCUUCUAGAUUUUCUAGUUUAUUUGCAUAGAGGUAUUUAUAGUAUUCCCUGAUGGUAGUUGGUAUUUCUGUGGGAUCAGUGGUGAUGGCCCCUUUAUCAUUUUUUUUAUUGCAUCUAUUUGAUUCUUGUCUCUUUUCUUCUUUGUUAUUCUGGCUAGUGGUCUAUCUAUUUUGUUGAUCUUUUCAAAAAAUCAGCUCCUGGAUUCAUUGAAUUUUUGGAGGGUUUUUCUUGUCUCUAUCUCCUUCAGUUCUGCCCUGAUCUUAGUUAUUUCUUGUCUUCUGUUAGCUUUUGAAUUUGUUUUUUCUUGCUUCUCUAGUUCUUUUAAUUUUGAUGUUAGGGUGUCAAUUUUAAAUCUUUCCUGCUUUCUCUUGUGGGCCUUGCGUGUUAUAAAUUUCUCUCUAAACACUGUUUUAAAUGUGUGCCAGAGAUUCUGGUAUGUUGUGUCUUUGUUUUUAUUGGUUUUGAAGAACAUCUUUAUUUCUGCCUUAAUUUUGUUAUUUACCCACUAGUCAUUCAGGAGCGGGUUAUUCAGUUUCCAUGUAGUUGUGUGGUUUUGAGUGAGUUUCUUAAUCCUGAGUUCUAAUUUAAUUGCACUGUGGUCUGAGAGACUGUUUGUUAUUAUUUCCGUUCUUUUGCAUUUGCUGAGGAGUGUUUUACUUCCAAUUAUGUGAUCAAUUUUAGAAUAAGUGUGAUGAAGUGCUGAGAAGAAUGUAUAUUCUGUGGAUUUGGGUGGAGAGUUCUGUAGAUGUCUAUUAGGUCUGCUUUGUCCAGAACUGAGUUCAAGUCCUUAAUAUCCUUGUUAAUUUUCUCUCUCGUUGAUCUGUCUAAUGAUGGGUCAUUUAUACUUGCCUUUGCUUUAAGUCUGUUUCAAUAGUUAGUAAAUAUGUUUCUAGAGUUUUUCCAAUUAAAAAAAUUGACCUGCACCUUGCUUUGGAUUGUACUAAAAUCUGAUUUCAACACAAACAUAAUCUUCUGAAUUACUUUGGUUUUUUCAGCUGAAGCCUUGGGGAGCACUGAAGCCAAGGCUGCACCGUACCAAAAAUUUGAAACAUGUGAAUGAGCUGAAUGUGGAAGGACUACCGGAAAACACUCCUUUCAGAAUCCCCUCAUUGCAUGAAAUCCCAAGGCUCGAAAACAUCUUUCAAGUGAGCAAUUGAAUUAAGUUUGUUAUUAAGAGGUAAGAUGAUAAUCUGCAGAAACAAAUUCAUUGUCUUCCCUAAGGAGAGAUUAAUUUGACCAAGAUGGGCCUUUUGUUCCCCUCUCAUCAUGACUCCUUUAUAUUAAAAUUAACAUUUAGAUUCAUUUAUUGAACAAACAUUUAUUUAGUAUAAGCAUCAGUUGUGCAAAAUUGGUUCUAGCAAGAACCCUGUCCUUGGGAGGCUUAAUACUCAGAAAAAUGCAAUGAAGAGUUAUUGAGCAUUUUUGGGGGAGAAGGCAAGGUUGGCACACCCAGAUCAGUCACUUGUGCAUCCAGAAGGGAGGCAAUGUGUUUCAAAUAUGAGUAAAGGCAGAGAGGAGUCAAAUAUGCUCACAUAUUCACAUACAUUACCCAUUCUGUGUGGAGUGAGGAGUGCCAUGUGGGCAUGGUGGGACUGCUUAGAUAGACUUUUGUGGCCAAAUGGAGGAAGGUCUUGGCUCCUACAAAAGCAGUGGCAGUCAUUAACUGGUCUCAUAGCAGUUUCCUCUUAAAAUAAUUUGGAUCUGCCCUUUAGAAAAGUUAAUCUGGCUUGAUUUUGAAGGGUAACACAUGAAUAGUUUGAGUGUUUGGGGAUAGGAACAGAAGGCCUCUCUCUACUCAUAGAAGGAAUGUUGAAGUGGGUAGAGUCUUGCUUACUGAUUGAGGUUGUGCAUCUGUGUAUUCGUUGGGACUGAGUUAUAAGGGAGAGGAAAGGUUUAAGAUGAUACAGCAAGCUGCUUCUGGCUGUGCUGUGGGACAGUUCAUCUAAGAUUCAGAAAUAUAAUUGGGCUGGUUUGGGGGAAAAGUGACUUUUGCAUAUUUAUCUUACAAAAAAGAUGACUUUGGAGACAUCCAGGUGGUCUCGCCUGAAUGUCUGAAAAUUGCUAUUUUCAAAAUUCAAGUCACCAAAAUGAUUUUUUUUCACUGUAAAAUGAAGGCAGAAUGGAUUAUGUUUAAAAAUUGGCCGGGCACAGUGGCUCAUGCUUGUAAUCCCAGCACUUUGGGAGGCUGAGGCAGGUGGAUUACCUGAGGUCAGGAGUUCAAGACCAGCCUGGCCAACAUGGCAAAACCCUGUGUCUACUAAAAAUACAAAAAUUAGCCAGGUGUGGUGGUGUGAACUUGCGGUCCCAGCUACUCAGGAGGUUGAGGCAGGAGAAUAGCUUGAACCUGGGAGGCAGAGGUUGCAGUGAGUCGAGAUUGUGCCACUGCACUCCAGCCUGGAUGACAGAAUGAGACUCCAUCUCAAAUAAUAAUAAUAAUAAUAUUUAGCAGUGCAAAGCUGUGUGAGAAAGACCUGUAAAUAUCUUCUAAAUGUUUUAUUAUAAUAUUAAUAUCAACUGUUUUUUACAGACCAAAACUUCUUACUCACAAUACAACUGAAGUUACUCAGCCAAGAACAAAUACAACAAGUAAAAUAGUUGUGAAAUCCUUUUUAAAAGCACAGAUUAAUCUUGAAGCUUUUAAAAAUUAAUCUUUUACAUGAUGGAACUGCUCCUUCCUUCACCUCCCCAAAAAAUCUUUUGCAGAAGCUCAAUAUAGGCACUCUGUGAUUUAUCAAUAUGAACAGAUGCAGUGUAGGGAUAACCCAAGGUUUUUUUUUUCUUUCUUUUUUUGAUACAGAGUCUCACUCUGUCACCCAGGCUGGAGUGCAGUGGUGUGAUCUUGGCUCACUGCAACCAGGCUCAAGCAAUUCUCCUGCCUCAGCCUUCCGAGUAGCCGGGAUUACAGGCUAAGUUAGCCAUGCCUGGUUAAGUUUUUUAUUUUGUGUAGAGACGAGUUUUCACCAUAUUGGCCAGGCUGGGUUCAGGUGAUCCUUCUGCCUGAGCCUCCCGAAGUGCUGGGAUUACAGAUGUGAGUCAUCGCACCUGGCAUUAAGCUUUGAAUUUUGACCGGUGGUAUCCAAAAGAAAUACAAUGUGUGCUGCAAAUGCAAGCCACAUACAUAAUUUUAUAUUUUCGAGUUCAACCUGAAAUCAUUAUAAAUAAACACACAAUGAAGUAUUUCACAUUCUUCAUUUGCAUAUAUUCUUUUUGUUGACAAUUGGUGUGUCUUUCAUACUCACAGGAUAUUUCAGUUUGAAGUAGCCACAUUUCAGCUGUUCAGGGAUAACAGUUACUAUUUGCCUUUAGACCUUAAUGUUUAUUCAUGUGUGCCCUGUUCCUAAAAUGGCAAAUACUGUCAUUCUGGCCUGCACACGAAUAUCACAGCUAACAGAAAAAGAUCUAAUAAGUCUCUGUUGAGCAAAUAAUGUCAUUUUCUUUUUGAGGGGAAUGAAGUUUUGCUCUUGUUGCCCAGACUAGAGUACAAUGGCGCGAUCUCAGCUGACCGCUACCUCCGCCUCCCAGGUUCAAGCGAUCCUCCUGCCUCAGCCUUCCAAGUAGCUGGGAUUCUAGGUGCAUGCCACCAUGCCUGACUAAAUUUUGUAUUUUUAGUAGAGAUGGGGUUUUGCCACGUUGGCCAGGCUGGUCUCGGACCCCUGUCCUCAAGUGAUCCGCCCACCUCGGCCUCCCAAAGUGUUAGGAUUACAGGCAUGAGCCACCGUGCCCAACCUAGUUUAUUAGAGCUCUAAGUGUACCUUUAUUUCCCAUCUUUUUGUUUGCCAUUGUGCAUUGUCAGAGUAAGUGACCACAAUUUGUAGAUCAUCCAUUACCUUAGGAACUUAUGUUGCCAAGAACUAAUAAAUGGCCAUUUAGUAUGAAGUUUUGUAUUGUCAGGAAAUAAGUGUUGGGAAUCAAGUAUGAACUAUGUAUGUGUAUUAGGUGUUUACAAAUUUGUGCAGUUAAUCCUUCUCAUGAAUACUAAGGUGAAUAAAUGUUCUCAAGUUGGCUUAAUGGGUGUGUCCUAAAAUACUGCUCCUUCAGCUUUCACAGUACCUUGGGGCAAUUACUUGUCAGUCAGUGUGCCAAAUAGAUUUUGUGUGGAUUAUGGCAUGGAAAGUGGUUGAGAAAUUCUGUAGUAGGGUAACAAAAUUAUCCUUGCCCAAGAGUUCUGCAAUGGAGAAGACAAAACUCAGUGCUUAACUCAUAGGUUAAGCAUGGUUUUCGUUUUUGUUUUUGUUUUUUUUUCUUUGAGACAGAGUCUCACUUUGUCACCCAGGCUGGAGUGCAGUGGCAUGAUUUCAGCUCACUGAAACAUUUGCCUCCCGGGUUCAAGCAAUUCUCCUGCCUCAUUCUCCUGAGUAGCUGGGAUUACAGGUGCAUGCCACCAUGCCUGACUAAAUUUUGUAUUUUUAGUAGAGAUGGGGUUUUGCCACGUUGGCCAGGCUGGUCUCGGACCCCUGUCCUCAAGUGAUCCGCCCACUUCGGCCUCCCAAAGUGUUAGGAUUACAGGCGUGAGCCACCGUGCCCAACCUAGUUUAUUAGAGCUCUAAGUGUACCUUUAUUUCCCAUCUUUUUGUUUGCCAUUGUGCAUUGUCAGAGUAAGUGACCACAAUUUGUAGAUCAUCCAUUACCUUAGGAACUUAUGUUGCCAAGAACUAAUAAAUGGCCAUUUAGUAUGAAGUUUUGUAUUGUCAGGAAAUAAGUGUUGGGAAUCAAGUAUGAAUUAUGUAUGUGUAUUAGGUGUUUACAAAUUUGUGCAGUUAAUCCUUCUCAUGAAUACUAAGGUGAAUAAAUGUUCUCAAGUUGGCUUAAUGGGUGUGUCCUAAAAUACUGCUCCUUCAGCUUUCACAGUACCUUGGGGCAAUUACUUGUCAGUCAGUGUGCCAAAUAGAUUUUGUGUGGAUUAUGGCAUGGAAAGUGGUUGAGAAAUUCUGUAGUAGGGUAACAAAAUUAUCCUUGUCCAAGAGUUCUGCAAUGGAGAAGACAAAACUCAGUGCUUAACUCAUAGGUUAAGCAUGGUUUUCGUUUUUGUUUUUGUUUUUUUUUCUUUGAGACAGAGUCUCACUUUGUCACCCAGGCUGGAGUGCAGUGGCAUGAUUUCAGCUCACUGAAACAUUUGCCUCCCGGGUUCAAGCAAUUCUCCUGCCUCAUUCUCCUGAGUAGCUGGGAUUACAGGUGCAUGCCACCAUGCCUGGCCAAUUUUUGUAUUUUUAGAAGAAAUGGGAUUUCACCAUGUUGGCCAGGCUGGUCUCAAACUCCUGACCUUGUGAUCCACCCACUUCAGCCUCCCGAAGUGCUGGGAUUACAGGUGUGAACCACCACACCUUGCCCUCAGCAUGCUUUUGAUUUAGCUGAAGAAUCAAAGCAUUGGUGAAGAAUUGAAGAUUGGAAGUUACACAUUUCUUGCUAAGGGAAGUAAUAGAGAAAGAAAAAUAUUCCUGAAGGUAGAUCUUCAGUUUGCAUUAGUCUGAAGAUGAUGAAACCUGUAGAAAACUUCAUUUCUGAAGAGAAAGCUCAAAUUCAAGGUUGUGAGGAGUGCAGUCACCAUUUUUGUUAGGGGCAGUUGUGACAGUUAUUGCAGAAAGUGAGAAUGCGAAACCUGUAUUAUAUAAAGAAUGUGCAAGUGUUGUAGAAGACACUGCAAGGAUUGGGUGCUGGAGCAGUGCUGGACCUGCCAUCGUCACCAGAGUACAGCAGGUGUCACCAGAAGGAGAAUCUCCACUCUUGCCAUCAUUGACAGCCCUUGACUUUGUCCCACUCAUAAAAGAUCUUGGAAGGAAUUAAAGGUGCUUGGUGGUUCCUAAUUUUAACAUAACCUUACUUGGCCUGACCGUGGACCAUGCAUUAGUGUUUGGACAGGACAAUUAAAAUCACAGAGCACAUGACAAAAGAAUUUUGUGGCCAUCAGAAUUGUCUCCUUAAACACACCAUGGGUGCACUGUGUCCUCAGCUUGGUGAAAGGUAGAAGUUACACGUGAGAAGGCGGUGGAGCCAGGCACAUGAUGGAGCCUCGAAGAGUGGAAGGUGGCACCUGGCUCUGUGAGGAGGGUGUGAAGUCCUCCAUGGGAGGAAGAGAUGCCAGCAAAGGAGGUGAGGAUGGGCAGAAGAGGAGGCUGAGCAGCAAGUGAAUAGAAGCGCUCGACCUCAGAAGAGGAGAGUCCCAUGUCUUUAUUGGUAGUAUUCUAAUGUGGUUCAUACUGGAGUUAUUUUCUGUGGCUGAAUGGUUCAACUACUGUGAAAUCCAAUGCGGGGGUGGGGAACAACUCCUACUAACCCUUUGAGAUGCUGAGUUUUCUUUUAAAGUAAAGGAAAUAUUACAAGAUUUUCUGAAACUGCCAACCUUUAGCAAUAUUUUCAGACAUUCUCCAACAUUUUCCUUUGUCGGCAAUCAGAGAUGACCUUUGUCAGCAAUCAGAGAUGACCUCCACACUGAGGCGAAUGUUCCACUCCCCUUACCCUUUUCCUUUUGUCUCUCUUUCCCUCCUCUCUUCAUCCAGUAACUCCAGUUAGCCUCCAUUGUCUCCAAGCCGGCUUUUGUCCUCAUCCACAACGCCUCCACACAAGCUCUGAACACCUGUCCAUGUAAGUGACAUCCUGUAUGCCUUUAUUUUUAUUUUAUUUUAUUUUAUUUUUGAGACAGAGUCUUGCUCUGUUGCCCAGGCUGGAGUGCAGUGGCAUGAUCUCGGCUUUCUGCAACUUCUGCCUCCCAGGUUCAAGGGAUUCUCAUGCCUCAGCCUCACAAGUAGCUAGGACUACAGGUAUGCACCACCACGCACACCUAAUUUUUGUAGUUUUUGGUAGAGAUGGGGUUUCACCAUGUUGGCCAGGCUGGUCUUGAACUCCUGACCGCAGGUAACCCACCCACCUCAGCCUCCCAAAGUGCUGGGAUUACAGGUGUGAGCUACGGUGCCUGGCACAUGAUUUGCUAUUUAUAAGAACAUGAGCUUACUACUUGUGUAAAAUUUAUCCCUGUAUUUUAGUUGGAAGUUAAUGAGGUGGUUUGAGGUUUGGUGACUACAUCUGGCCUCUCAGGGAAAUGGCCAAGUUGUUCAGAUGUUCAACUGUAUUAUAUGAAGUUGUUUGUCAGCUUCAUUGCUUACUACUGUGAAAUAAGUUAUAAAGGGAAAUUUUUUUAUAAAAAGAAAUAGAUUCAGGCUGAGCGUGGUAGCUCAUGCCUAUAAUCCUAGCACUUUGGGAGGCCAAAGUAGGUGGAUUACCUGAGCUCAGGAGUUUGAGACAACCCUCAGCAACAUGGUGAAGCCCCAUCUCUACUAAAAUACAAAAAAAAAAAAAAAAUCUGGGAAUGGUGAAUGGUGGUGGGUGCCUAUAGUCCCAGCUACUGAGGAGGCUAAGGCACGAGAAUUGCUUGAUCCUGGGAGGUGGAGGUUGCAGUGAGCUAACAUUGUGCCACUGCCAGCCUGGGUAACAGAGCAAGACUGUCUCAAAAAAAAAAAAAAAAAAAAGAGAAAUAGAUUUACUCAGGGGAGAGGAUCCAUUAUUAGUAAAACAUAUCUAGUACCACAUGCUUUUUGGUCUCCUAAUGACCUAUCAAACUACAGCGUUUUUGGCUUUUUAAUAUAUUCAGUUCCACAUUUAUUCAUUCAAGAAUUGAAGACAUUUUACAUCCGCAUUAUAUGCCAAGUACUGGGUGGGGACAAUAGGUGACAGAGAUGAACAAAUCCCUGAUCCCAGGAUUUCACAGUGGAUUUUGGAAUUUAGUGCCAUUUAGCUUCAUUCGAUUCUGCAGUAGUCCCAAGAUUUUCCAAGAUCAUCCUGUCCUCCAGUGUCUGGUUGAUUCAACUUCAGAAUAUAUCCGAGUCUGUCCUUCACUCCUCACUGCUGCCACCCUGGAACCAUCUGCCAUCGUCUCUCACCUGGAUUAUCUCCAUAGUCUCCUAACUGGUUUCCUUGUUUCCAUGCUUGCCUCUUUCAGUCUACUCUCUCUCUCUCUCUUUUUUUUUGAGACAGUCUUGCUUUGUCGCCAAGGCUGGAGUGCAAUGUUGUGAUCUUGGCUCACUGCAACCUCCACCUCCUUGGUUCAAGUGAUUCUCCUGCCUCAGUCUCCCUAAGGCAGGCCUCUUAAGUGUUGGGAUUACAGGCAUGAGCCACCACUCCCUCCCAGUCUACUCUCAGUACAACAGUUAGAACAAUCCUUUUACAGUGUAAUUCAGAUCAUGUUUACCCCUCUGUUCAAAUUCUCCAGCGGCUUUGUUUUCUACAUGAUCUGGUCCCCUACUACCUGUCUCACUGUGCUUCCUGCUACUCUCCUGCUCUUACUCCUCUUUAUAAACACUGAGCUCAUGGUGUUUCCUUUAACAUGCCAGGCAUGCUUGACCUUGUCCUGUCUCUGGACCUUGCUGUUCCCUCUGCCUGGAACAUUCUUCACCUAAUGUCUUCAUGGCUAACUCUCACUGCUUUGGAUUUUGGCUGAAAAGUCAGCUUAUCAAGGGCCUCCAGGCUGCUCUGCAUAAAAUAUAUCCUCGACUCAUAUUUCCUAUUUGAUACCUGACUCCUCUUCCUCUUUCACUAAAAUGUAAGCUCUAUGAGGGAAGGGAUUUUUGUCUGUUUUGCUCUGUUGUAUACCUAAAUACCUAGAAGGUGCUCAGUAAAUAUUUUUUGGUUGAAUGACUAAAUCAGUCUGUUAUUGAAUCAGUCAAUGUCCUCUGUAGCAGGGACUUCUCAUACCAGUAGUCCAUAUCUGUAUGAUAGCUGGUGUAGGGAGGGACAUGGUCAGAAUGGCUCUGUGUGGAAUAGUUUUGCUUAGCAUAAUCCCAGCAGGCUCCUAUUGGGGUUAAGCCACAGUUUUAGCCUUACUAGUAUCACUUUUUUUUUUUUUUUUGAGGUGGAGAUUUGUUCUUGUUGCUCAGGCUGGAGUGCAAUGGUGCAAUCUUCGCUAACCAAAAAAUCUGCCUCCCAGAUUCAAGCAGUUCUCGCUGAGCCUCCAGAGUAGCUGGGAUUACAGGCAUGCAUCACCACACCUGGCUAAUUCUGUAAAAAUAGUAGAGACAGGGUUUCUUCGUGUUUGUCAGGCUGGUCUCAAACUCCCCACCUCAGGUGAUCUGCUCACCUCAGCCUCCCAAAGUACUGGGAUUACAGGCGUGAGCCACUGCACCCAGCGAGUAUCACUCUUUAAUCAUAAAGUCAGAGGAUGUUAAGAUUGGAAGGGAUCUGGGAGACUAUUUGGUUCACUUUUCUCAUGGAUGAGAGAAUAACAGAGCAUUGAAAAGUAAGGUAAUUUACUCACAAUCAUAAAGCUAUAUGGGUCAAUCUGAAAUUAGGCUUCUUACAUCAGAUUCUGUAGUCUUUCCUACAUGUGUUCUCCCCAGACUAAGACAGUUCAUGGGCCUUCAGGUUUGACAAUUUUCUCUCCAGUCUCUAAACAGGAGCUUUUAUCUGGACAUUCUAGGUUAGCAUAGAUGGACAAUGACCCUGCAAUGUGUAGCAAAUCCCAAAGGUUGACCACUGUCAAUGGGAACCACCCCAGAUGUGUCAGGAGCACCACAGGCAUGCUCACUCUUCCAUUCACUGGAGCUGUGUAGGGUGGAAAGGAAACCCAAAUCAAGACCCUCUGCUGCUUUAGUUAUUUUAUUUCAUGUCACAAUCCAAUGUGUCUCCAUUUAAAUUCAGAUUUUUUGAUAGAUGGUCAGACCAGCUAUAGGCCCUUUGGGCCAUAAGUCUUGAUCUUUUUUUUAAUUUUAUUAUUAUUAUACUUUAAGUUUUAGGGUACAUGUGCACAACGUGCAGGUUCGUUACAUAUGUAUACAUGUGCCAUAUUGGUGUGCUGCAACCAUUAACUCGUCAUGUAGCAUUAGGUAUAUCUCCUAAUGCUAUCCCUCCCCCCUCCCCUCACCCCACAACAGUCCCCGGUGUGUGAUGUUCCCCUUCCUGUGUCCAUGUGUUCUCAUUGUUCAAUUCCCACCUACGAGUGAGAACAUGCAGUGUUUGGUUUUUUGUCCUUGCGAUAGCUUACUGAGAAUGAUGAUUUCCAAUUUCAUCCAUGUCCCUACAAACAACAUGAACUCAUCAUUUUUUAUGGCUGCAUAGUAUUCCAUGGUGUGUAUGUGCCACAUUUUCUUAAUCCAGUCUAUCAUUGUUGGACAUUUGGGUUGGUUCCAAGUCUUUGCUAUUGUGAAUAGUGCCGCAAUAAACAUAAGUGUGCAUGUGUCUUUAUAGCAGCAUGAUUUAUAAUCCUUUGGGUAUAUACCCAGUAAUGGGAUGGCUGGGUCAAAUGGUAUUUCUAGUUCUAGGUCCCUGAGGAAUCUCCACACUGACUUCCACAAUGGUUGAACUAGUUUACAGUCCCACCAACAGUGUAAAAGUGUUCCUAUUUCUCCACAUCCUCUCCAGCACCUGUUGUUUCCUGACUUUUUAAUGAUCUCCAUUCUAACUGGUGUCAGGUGGUAUCUCGUGGUUUUGAUUUGCAUUUCUCUGAUGGCCAGUGACGAUGAGCAUUUUUUCAUGUGUUUUUCCGCUGCAUAAAUGUCUUCUUUUGAGAAGUGUCUGUUCAUGUCCUUCGUCCACUUUUUGAUGGGGUUGUUUGUUUUUUUCUUGUAAAUUUGUUUGAGUUCAUUGUAGAUUCUGGAUAUUAGCCCUUUGUCAGAUGAGUAGGUUGCAAAAAUAUUCUCCCAUUCUGUAGGUUUCCUGUUCACUCUGAUGGUAGUUUCUUUUGCUGUGCAGAAGCUCUUUAGUUUAAUUAGAUCGCAUUUCUCAAUUUUGGGUUUUGUUGCCAUUGCUUUUGGUGUUUUAGACAUGAAGUCCUUGCCCAUGCCUGUGUCCUGAAUGAUAUUGCCUAGGUUUUCUUCUAGGGUUUUUAUGGUUUUAGGUCUAACAUGUAAGUCUUUAAUCCAUCUUGAAUUAAUUUUUGUAUAAGGUGUAAGGAAGGGAUCCAGUUUCAGCUUUCUACAUAUGGCUAGCUAGUUUUCCCAGCACCAUUUAUUAAAUAGGGAAUUGUUUCCCCAUUUCUUGUUUUUGUCAGGUUUGUCAACGAUCAGAUAGUUGUAGAUAUGCGGCAUUAUUUCUGAGGGCUCCGUUGUGUUCCAUUGGUCUAUAUCUCUGUUUUGGUACCAGCACCAUGCCGUUUUGGUUACUGUAGCCUUGUAGUAUAGUUUGAAGUCAGGUAGUGUGGUGCCUCCAGCUUUGUUCUUUUGGCUUACGAUGGACUUGGCAAUGCAGCCUCUUUUUUGGUUCCAUAUGAACUUUAAAGUAGUUUUUUCCAAUUCUGUGAAGAAAGUCAUUGCUAGAUUGAUGGGGAUGGCACUGAAUCUAUAAAUUACCUUGGGCAGUAUGGCCAUUUUCAUGAUAUUGAUUCCUCCUAUCCAUGAGCAUGGAAUGUUCUUCCUUUUGUUUGUGUCCUCUUCUAUUUCAUUGAGCAGUGGUUUGUAGUUCUCCUUGAAGAGGUCCUUCACAUCCCUUGUAAGUUGGAUUCCUAGGUAUUUUAUUCUCUUUGAAGCAAUUGUGAAUGGGAGUUCACUCAUGAUUUGGCUCUCUGUCUGUUACUGGUGUAUAAGAAUGCUUGUGAUUUUUGCACAUUGAUUUUAUAUACUGAGACUUUGCUGAAGUUGCUUAUCAGCUUAAGGAGAUUUUGGGCUAAGACAAUGCGGUUUUCUAGAUAUACAGUCAUGUCAUCUGUGAACAGGGACAAUUUGACUUCCUCUUUUCCUAGUUGAAUACCCUUUACUUCUUUCUCCUGUCUGAUUGUCCUGGCCAGAACUUCCAACACUAUGUUGAAUAGGAGUGGUGAGAGAGGGCAUCCCUGUCUUGUGCCCGUUUUCAAAGAGAAUGCUUCCAGUUUUUGCCCGUUCAGUAUGAUAUUGGCUGUGGGUUUGUCAUAGAUAGCUCUUAUUAUUUUGAGAUAUGUCCCAUCAAUUCCUAAUUUAUUGAGAGUUUAUAGCAUGAAGAGUUGUUGAAUUCUGACAAAGGCCUUUUCUGCAUCUAUUGAGAUAAUCAUGUGGUUUUUGUCUUUGGUUCUGUUUAUAUGCUGGAUUACAUUUAUUGAUUUGCAUAUGUUGAAACAGCCUUGCAUCCCAGGGAUGACGCCCACUUGAUCAUGGUGGAUAAGCUCUUUGAUGUGCUGCUGGAUUCGGUGUGCCAGCAUUUUAUUGAGGAUUUUUGCAACGAUGUUCAUCAGGGAUAUUGGUCUAAUAUUCUCUUUUUUUGUGGCAUCUCUGCCAGGCUUUGGUAUCAGGAUGAUGCUGGCCUCAUAAAAUGAGUUAGGGAGGGUUCCCUUUUUUUUGUGUUGAUUGGAAUAGUUUCAGAAGGAAUGGUACCAGCUCCUCCUUAUACCUCUGGUAGAAUUCUGCUGUGAAUCUGUCUGGUCCUGAACUUUUUUUGGUUGAUAGGCAAUUAAUUAUUGCUUCAAUUUCAGAGUUUUUGUUAUUGGUCUAUUCAGAGAUUCAACUUCUUCCUGGUUUAGUCUUGGGAGGGUGUAUGUGUCCAGGAAUUUAUCCAUUUCUUCUAGAUUUUCUAGUUUAUUUGCAUAGAGGUGUUUAUAGUAUUCUCUGAUGGUAGUUUGUAUUUCUCUGGGAUCAGUUAUGAUAUCCCGUUUACCAUGUUUUAUUGCAUCUAUUUGAUUCUUCUUUCUUUUCUUCUUUAUUAGUCUUGCUAGUGGUCUAUCAAUUUUGUUGAUCUUUUCAAAAAACCAGCUCCUGGAUUCAUUGAUUUUUUGAAGGGUUUUUUGUGUCUCUACAUUCUUCAGUUCUGCUCUGAUCUUUGUUGUUUCUUGCCUUCUGCUAGCUUUUGAAUGUGUUUGCUCUUGCUUCUCUAUUUCUUUUCAUUGUGAUGUUAGGGUGUCCAUUUUUGAUAUUUCCUGCUUUCCUUUGUGGGCAUUUAGCACUAUAAAUUUCCCUCUACACACUGCUUUAAAUGUGUCCCAGAGAUUCUGGUAUGUUGUGUCUUUGUUCUCAGUGGUUUCAAAGAACAUAUUUAUUUCCGCCUUCAUUUCAUUAUGUACCCAGUAGUCAUUCAGGAGCAGGUUGUUCAGUUUCCAUGUAGUUGAGAGCUUUUGAGUGAGUUUCUUAAUCCUGAGUUCUAAUUUGAUUGCACUGUGGUCUGAGAGACAGUUUGUUAUAAUUUCUAUUCUUUUACAUUUGCUGAGGAGUGCUUUGCUUCCAACUAUGUGGUCAAUUUUGGAAUAAGUGCGAUGUGGUGCUGAGAAGAAUGUAUAUUCUGUUGAUUUGGGGUGGAGAGUUCUGUAGAUGUUUAUUAGGUCUGCUUGGUGCAGAGGUGAGUUCAAUUCCUGGAUAUCCUUGUUAACUUUCAGUCUCAUUGAUCUGUCUAAUGUUGACAGUGGGUUGUCAAAGUCUCCCAUUAUUAUUGUGUUGGAGUCUAAGUCUCUUUGUAGGUCUCCAAGCACUUGCAUUAUGAAUCUGGGUGCUCUUGUAUUGGGUGCAUAUACAGUUAGGAUAGUUAGCCCUUCUUAUUGAAUUGAUCCCUUUACCAUUAUGUAAUGGCCUUCUUUGUCUCUUUUGAUCUUUGUUGGUUUAAAAUCCGUUUUAUCAGAGACUAGGAUUGCAACGCCUGCUUUUGUUUGUUUUCCAAUUUCUUGGUAGAUCUUCCUCCAUGCCUUUAUUUUGAGCCUAUGUGUGUCUCUGCUCGUGAGAUGGGUCUCCUGAAUAGAGCGGACUGAUGGGUCUUGACUCUUUAUCCAAUUUGCCAGUCUGUGUCUUUUAAUUGGAGCAUUUAGCCCAUUUACAUUUAAUGUUAAUAUCAUUAUGUGUGAAUUUGAUCCCGUCAUUAUGAUGUUAACUGGUUAUUUUGCUCGUUAGUUGAUGCAGUUUCUUCCUAGCAUCGAUGCGCUUUCCAAUUUUGCAUGUUUUUGCAGUGGCUGGUACCGGUUGUUCCUUUCCAUAUUUAGUGCUUCCUUCGGGAGCUCUUGCAGGGCCGGCCUGGUGGUGACAAAAUCUCUCAGCCUUUGCUUGUCUGUAAAGUAUUUUAUUUCUCCUUCACUUAUGAAGCUUAGUUUGGCUGGACAUGAAAUUCUGGGUUGAAAAUUCUUUUCUUCAAGAAGGUUGAAUAUUGGCCCCCACUCUCUUCUGGCUUGUAGAGUUUCUGCUGAGAGAUCAGCUGUUAGUCUGAUGGGCUUCCCUUUGUAGGUAACCCGACCUUUCUCUCUGGCUGCCCUUAACAUUUUUUCCUUCAUUUCAACUUUGGUGAAUCUGACAAUUAUGUGUCUUGGAGUUGCUCUUCUCGAGGAGUAUCUUUGUGGUGUUCUCUGUAUUUCCUGAAUUUGAAUGUCGCCCUGCCUUGCUAGGUUGGGGAAGUUCUCCUGGAUAAUAUCCUGCAGAGUGUUUUCCAACUUGGUUCUAUUCUCCCCAUCACUUUCAGGUACACCAGUCAGACGUAGAUUUGGUCUUUUCACAUACUCCCAUAUUUCUGGGAGGCUUCAUGUAUUUCUUUUUACUCUUUUUUCUCUAAACUUCUCUUAUCACCUCAUUUCAUACAUUUGAUCUUCUGUCACUGAUAUCCUUUCUUCCAGUUGAUCUAAUCAGCUGCUGAAGCUUGUGCAUUCAUCAUGUAGUUCUCGUUCCAUGGUUUUCAGCUCCAUCAGGUCCAUCGGUGUAGAGAAUUUAAGGACUUGUCUACACUUGUUAUUCUAGUUACCCAUUCGUCUAAUCUUUUUUAAGGUUUUUAGCUUCUUUGUGAUGGGUUUGAACUUCCUCCUUUAGCUCGGAGAAGUUUGAUCAUCUGAUGCUGUCUUCUCUCAACUCGUCAUUCUCUGUCCAGCUUUUUUCCAUUGCUGGUGAGGAGCUGCGUUCCUUUGUAGGGGGAGAGGCACUCCAAUUUUUAGAAUUUUCAGCCUUUCUGCUGUGUUUUUUCCCCAUCUUUGUGGUUUUAUCUACCUUUGAUCUUUGAGGAUGGUGACGUACACAUGGGUUUUGGUGUGAAUGUCUUUUCUGUUUGUUAGUUUUCCUUCCAACAGUCAGUACACUCACCUGCAGGUCUGUUGGAGUUUGCUGAACGUCCCCUCCAGACCCUGUUUGCCUGUGUAUCGGCAGUGGAGGCUGCAGAACAGCGAAUAUUGCUGAACAGCAAAUGUCACUGCCUGAUUGUUCCUCUGGAAGUUUCGUCUCAGGGGUACCUGAUCAUAUGAAGUGUCAGUCAGCCCCUACUGCAGGGUGCCUCCCAAUUAGGCUACUCAGGAUUCAGGGACCCACUUGAGGAGGGAGUCUGUCCAUUCUCAGAUCUCAAACUCCAUGCUGGGAGAACCAUUUCUCUCUUCAAAGCUGUCAGACAGGGACAUUUAAGUCUGCAGAGGUUUCUGCUGCCUUUUGUUCAGCUAUGCCUUGCCCCCAGAGGUGGAGUCUAGAGAGGCAGGCAGGCCUUGAGCUGCGGUGGACUGCACCCAGAUUGAGCUUCCCGGUCACUUUGUUUACCUACUUAAGCCUCAGCAAUGGCGGGUGCCCCUCUCCCAGCCUCACUGCUGCCUUGCAGUUCGAUCUCAGACUGCUGUGCUAGCUAUGAGUGAGGCUCCGUGGGCUUGGGACCCUCCGAGACAGGCACGGGAUAUAAUCUCCUGGUGUGCUGUUUGCUAAGACGAUUGGAAAAGCGCAGUAUUAGGGUUGGAGUGACCUGAUUUUCCAGGUGCUGUCACAUCUUUGCUUGGCUAGGAAAGGGAAUUCCCUGACCCCUUUCACUUCCUGGGUGAGGCAAUGCCCCACCCUGCUUCGGCUCACGCUUGAUGCGCUGCACCCGCUGUCCUGCACCCACUGUCUGACAAGCCCCAGUGAGAUGAACCCUGUACCUCAGUUGGAAAUGGAGAAAUCACCCAUCUUCUGUGUCACUCAUGCUGGGAGCUGUAGACUGGAGCUGUUCCUGUUCAGCCAUCUUGGAACCGCUGCCCACAUUAUUUUUGUUUUGUUUUGUUUUCUUUUGAGUUGGAGUCUCACUCUGUCACCCAGGCUGGAGUGCAGUGUCAUGAUCUUGGCUCACUGCAAGCUCCGCCUCCUGGGUUCAUACCAUUCUCCUCCCUCAGCCUCGCAAGCAGCUGGGACUAUAGGCACCUGCCAACACGCCUGGCUAAUUUUUUGUAUUUUUAGUAGAGAUGGCAUUACACUGUGUUAGCCAGGAUGGUCUCGAUCUCCUGACCUUGUGAUCCACCCGCCUCGGCCUCCCAAAGUGCUGGGAUUACAGGCGUGAGCCACCACACCUGGCCAAUGAAACAUUAUUAUUGGAAUAAUAUAGUUCAUAGGUUUUAAUGAUAAACUUGGGGGAUGUGUUAGUUGCCUUCAGAUUCAGGUGAGUAGAACACAUACAUGGAAACAAAAAUUGAAGUUUGAAAUGAGGCAGAAAUGUAUAUCUUCUUUACAUCAAAGAAUUCUGGAUGUUGGUAGUCCAAUAUGGAGGUAAUAAUUCCCUACUCACCAAGGACCCAAACUCUCCGUAUCUUUACACUCUACAAUACUAUUAUAUGUCUUCAAUUCUUAACAUUGCUUCAUGUUCCAAAAUGGCUGCCGAAUCUACAGCCUUUAUGUCUGCUUUGCAGGCAGGAAGAAGGGGAAAAACAAAAGGAAACACCUCUUAGCUGAGUCAGCAUUACUUGUAGAACCUUUCUAGAAGAAACACCCUAAUAGCUAGAUACAUGGAGCAUGGAAAAUACAGUCUUUUACCUAGACAACCUAACCAAAAUAUUGGUGGGAAUUACAUCCUAACCAAAAUGUUGGUUCAGGAAUAUGGCUAUUAAUUAAGCAGCUUCAGUGUCUGUCAAAGGAGUAAAGUAGUAUUUUUGUGAAGCCAGAGAGGAUACACUUUGAAGUCGGCCUCUUUCAAUCAUUGUCUUUUCCUUACAUAAAUACUUUCUUAAUGCAAACACUUAUUUGGUUCUUUUUAUUUUAUGAUAAAAUCAUCCCGUGAACAAGUAAUAUGUCAUGCAAGAUGACAUAUUGCUGGCUUCUGAUAAAAUGGUAGUGCUACCCUCAACAUGGGUAGUGAGAUUGAAUGGACACUGGGAAGGCUCAUCAGACCAAAACCACUCAUAAUGUAUUGCCUAAAGUGUCCAUCAUAAAAGUUAUUGCUUCUGCAUGAAGAUGAUGUGCUUUUAAAACAAUCUCACUUAAAGUGAGUAUGUGUUAACCAUUAUGCCAUUCAAUUCCAUUAAUCCAUUUCUCUGUAUUUAUCAAAUAUCAUCAUGGAAAAUAUAGAGCGAGGCUCUGAGGGAAUAGAAACGGGUUAGGUACAUUUCCAAGAGGUAGAUGAGAGAGAAGUUGAAAGCAGGGUGUGAAAAUGAGGGUGAAUUUGGGAGAAUCCACCUACCGAGACAGAGUAUGUAAUAAUAAUUUCAUUUCUGAAUAAAUGAAUGAAAUAAAAAUACAUGCACAGAAUAACUUCUCAAUAAACUUUUCUGGUCGACUACCAGAUAAAUGCAUGAAGAGACAGAUGAAUGUAUGAAUAAAUCCUCAAAGGUGAAUUUUAUCAAUGAGGAUUCUUUGAUUUCUUCAUGCCACUAUCCCUGCUGGUAUGUGUGCUUCGUAUAGCCAUCAUUGAGAGUUGUUGAUUAUGUUAAAUAUUAGAGUAACAAAUACAAAAAGAACACUCAGAACCAUAGAUCACAUCCCAAACUAAGGGAUGGAAGCACUAAUGAGGCUGGCCAGAGAAGUAAGCAUUGGGUUAUUACUAUCAGCUUUAACAUGUACUUCUUUCAUCCAGCACUGAAACAGAGAGACACUCAAAAUACAAACACUGAGCAUAAGACUAACAGACAAAGACUUUCCUCUCUUGACUAUGAUCAAAUGGGUGUAUUCAACUUAACUAUGCACUAUAUCAUAACUUUGAGUAGGACUUCCUUUUCUGGUGUGGAGGCUGUGUGCAAUAAUAGUUAAAUACGUAAGUUAUGGUUUCAGGAAAAUUUGAAUUCAAAUGCUGCAUCUCCACUUACUGGUUGCACAGCCUUGAGCAAAUUACUUAACUGUUUCACAUCAAAGCUCCCCCAUCUUUAAAAUGGGAGGAAUGCUAUUGCCUACCUUGUAAGUAAUUGUGAGGAUUAGUUGAGGACUCAAUGAUAUCAGCCACAGUUACUAGUCAUUAUGUGUGGGGAUCAUGAGCGACUGUAUAAGCCAGAGUUCUUCUGAGAAACAGAACCAUUAGGAGACAUAUAUGAGAGAGAGAUUUAUUUCAAGGAAUUAGCUUAUGCAACCGUGGGAGCUAACCAGUCUACAUCUGUAGGGCAAGCUGGCAGGCUGGAAAUUCGGUUGUGUUGGUGUUGCAGUCUUGAGUUGGUAGGCUGGGAACUCGGGCAGGGUUUGUAUGUUGCAGUCGUGAGUCAGAAUUGCUGCUUUCUUGGGAAAUCUCAGUCUUGGCUCUGAAAGCCUUCAACUGAUUGAAUGAGGCCUACCCACAUUAUGGACACAAAUAUGCUCUACUUAAAGUCAACUGAUUUAAAUGUUAAUCACAUCUAAAAAUAUUUUCAUAGUAACAUAUACACUGGCAUUUGAUGAAACAACUAGGUGCCAUAGCCUCACCAAGUUGACACAUAAAAUUAACUAUCACAGGGGCACAAUAAAUGUGCCCAUCCACACCGACAUUCUUCGCACAGAAACAAGACACAAAAGUUGCAGAUUGGAAAGUGCAACUCUAACCUGUAUGACAGAUAAAGACUAGAAUGGAAGCUGUGGUUUGUAUUUGCAGGAUUCAACGGUUUCAGGUACUCCCACCCUCAACCCUCUGGCAGGUAGAUUAACACAACCAACUCAGGCAGUUGUGCCACAUAAGACUUACAGCAUGGAGAAGCUGGCAAGAACUCACAUUUCUACUGAUGAGUUAACAUCUGAGAGGACAAAAAGGAAGAGCUAGUUUUUUUUUUUUCUGAAAUUUUCCAACCAGAUAAUUCCCUCCUCCUUGCUAAGGUAGAGAAAGUGAUGCCACAGGUGAAGCCCCAGUGUUUCUGUCAAUUGCACCCUUUCACAGAAAGGAGCUAUCGUGAGUCAAGAAGAAACAUUUCCCUCAGUAUCCUCCUCUCCUCACUACCACCAUUGUUUUUAUCACCAGCAGGCUGUACUGUUUAUAUUUCUUGAUGGGACCCUCAAAGACUUAGCCUCUGAAAUUGAAACUCUGGAGGGUUCUGAGUCUCCCGAAACCUAAGGAAAUUUUCCAAGACAUAUCGAGAUAAGUAAAAUCCUAUAUUCAACCAAUGGCAUAUUUCCCCUAUCCUAGAAAUCACCCUCCUUCCCCUUCCCCCCGAAACUUCAGUUGGGAACCAGCUGGAGUUUAUAGCACCAGGCUUAGUGUGGAUCUCUUGACACCUCUGAAACAAGUUCCCCAUCACAUGGGAAAACUGCUCUGCCCUUCCACACCAGGCCUUGGAGCCUCUGCCAGCUUGAUGCUGAAGAAGCCUGACAUCCCCCAGGUAGGGGACAGCUGAGAUCUCUUGGGGUGUCUUGGGACCUGCUUGACUGUCCUUUUGAAGAGCGCACCUUUCCCUCAUCUGUAAAGAAGUCUGAGGGCAGAAACCAGAUGUGCUGACCUCACCUCUCACCUCUCUCCCCCUGGGCUGGAAUCCAGUGUUGCUCACUUCCUAUUCACUAGAAGCAGCUUGCCUGGGCAGGACUGGUGUUAUACUUUGUUUCAGUCAGCACAGGAAAGUGCAGAGUUGCCUGCAAAAGGCAGAUGAAAACUUAAAGUGAUCUUUGGCCAGCAGAUUCAUUUAAAAUGCAAAUCCACUCAGCAGUGUAGGAACAGUAUGGCACAGCCCCCAUGUGGUAGAUUAGAAUGCAGGCUUUCACCACAGCUCUUUGUUCCAAAGCCAGCAGAAACUGGCUAGGCUUGGCAUUUAUCCUUUUGCACUAAAGCGCGUUGGGGAAAUCCCUGAACGAGUCCCUAAAAUUCCCGGUGAUUGGGGAAGCUUGAAGUAGUCUAUUUGCACCCAGCCCUACCUGAUUUGAAGAGCUGUAUGGAACCAGGAACCAGGAAGAGAAUGUGAGCUUUUGAGCCAGUACCCCAACUUACCAGCCCUGAAAUCUUCAGCUAAUUAUUUUAUCUCUCUGAGAAACAUAUUAACCUCUCUAGGCCACAUCUUGAGGGGACUCUAAAGCUGACAUUUGGGAGUUAACGUUUCCCCUGCUAGGAGAAAAUACACAUAUAUUAGUCCAUUUUCACGUUGCUGAUAAAGAUAUACCUGAGACUGAGAAGAAAAAGAGGUUUAAUUGGACUUACAGUUCCACAUGGCUGGGAAGGCCUCAGAAUCAUGGCAGGAAGUGAAAGGCACUUCUUCCAUGGUGGCACCAAGAGAGAAUGAGGAAGAAGCAAAAGUGGAAACUCCUGAUAAACCUAUCAGAUCUCAUGAGACUUAUUCACUAUCAUGAGAUUAGCACGGGAAAGACCGGCCCUCAUAAUUAAGUUAUCUCCCCCUAGGUCCCUCCCACAACAUUUGAGAAUUCUGGGAGAUACAAUUCAAGUUGAGAUUUGAAUGGGGACACAGUCAAACUGUAUCACUCCACCCCUGGCCCCUCCAAAUCUCAUGUCCUCACAUUUAAAGAGGAAUCAUGCCUUCCCAACAGUCCCCCAAAGUCUUAACUCAUUUCAGCAUUAACCCAAAAGUCCACAGUCCAAAGUCUCAUCUAAGUCAAUGCAAGUCUCUUCCUCCUAUGAGCCUGUACAAUCAAAAGCAAGCUAGUUACUUCCUAGAUGCAAUGGGGGUACAAGUAUUGGGUAAAUACAGCCAUUCCAAAUGAGAGAAAAUUGCCAAAACAAAGAGGUUACAGGGCCCCUGCAAGUCCAAAAUCAAGUGAGGUGGUCAAAUUUUAAAGCUCCAAAAUCAUCAUCUUUGACUCCGGAUCUCACAUCCAGGUCAUGCUGAUGCAAGAGGUGGGUUCCCAUGUUCUUCAUCAGCUCUGCCCUUGUGGCUUUGCAGGAUACAGCUUCCCUACUGGCUGCUUUCACAGUCUGGCCUUGAGCAUCUGCGGCUUUUCCAGGCGCACAUUGCAAGCUGUUAGUGGAUCUACCAUUCUGGUGUCUGGAGGACAGUGGCCCUCUUCUCACAGCUCCACUAGGCAGUGCCCCAGUAGGGACUCUGUGUGGGGGAUCCAACCCCACAUUUCCCUUCCACAUUGCCCUAGCAGAGGUUCUCCAUGAGGGCCCCACCCCUACAGAAAACUUUUGCCUGGGCAUACAGGCAUUUCCAUACAUCUUCUGAAAUCUAUGCGGAGGUUCCCAAAUCUCAAUUCUUGACUUCUGUGCACCCACAGGCCCAACACCAUAUGGAAGCUGCCAAGGCUUGGGGAUUCCCCCCUCUGAAGCCACAACCCGAGAUGUACACUGGCCCCUUUCAGCCAUGGCUGGAGCAGCUGAGACACAGGGUACCAACUCCCUAGGCUGCACACAGCACGGGGACCCUCGGCCCGACCCAUGAAGCCAGUUUUUCCUCAUGGGCCUCUGGACCUGUGAUGGGAGCAGCUGCCAUGAAGGUCUCUGACAUGGCCUGGAUACAUUUUCCCCAUGGUCUUGGGGAUUAACAUUAGGCUCAAUGCUACUUAUGCACAUUUCUAUAAUUGGCUUGAACUUCUCCCCCCAAAAAUGGAUUUUUCUUUUCUGUCACAUAGGCUGCAAAUUUUUCAAACUUUUAUGCUCUGCUUCCCUUACAAAACUGAAUGCCUUUAAAAGAACCCAAGACACCUCUUGAAUGCUUUGCUGUUUAGGAAUUUCUUCUGUCAGAUACCCUAAAUCAUCUUUCUCAAGUUCAAAGUUCCACAGAUCCUUAGGGCAGGGGCAAAAUGCCUUCAGUCCCUUUGCUGAAACAUAACAAGUGUCACCUUUACUCCAGUUUCCAACAAGUUUCCUCAUCUCCAUCUGAGGUCUCCUCAGCUUGGACCUUAUUGUCCAUAUCGCUAUCAGCAUUUUGGGCAAAGCCAUUCAACAAGUCUCUAGGAAGUUCCAAACUUCCCCACAUUUUCCUGUCUUCUCCCGAGCUCUCCAAACUGUUCCAGCCUCUGCCUGUUACCCAGUUCUAAAGUCAUUUCCACAUUUUUGGGUAUCUUUUCAGCAACACCACACUCUACUGGUACCAAUUUACUGUAUUAGUUCAUUUUCACGCUGCUAAGAAAAACAUACCCAAGACUGGGAAGAAAAAGAGGUUUAAUUGGACUUACAGUUCCACAUGGCUGGGGAGGCCUCAGAAUCAUGGUGAGAGGUGAAAGACACUUCUUAUAGGGUGGCAGCAAGAGAGAAUGAGGAAGAAGCAAAAGCAGAAACUCCUGAUAAACCCAUCAGAUCUCAUGAGACUUAUUCACUAUCACGAGAAUAGCAUGGGAAAGACCAGCCCCCAUGAUUCAAUUACCUCCUUCUAGGUCUCUCCCACAACACAUGAAAAUUCUGGGAGAUACAUUUCAAGUUGAAAUUUUUAUGGGAACACAGUGAAACCAUGUCAACAUGGUAUAGUGGAAAGAACUAGUUAGGUCUGAUAUAAAUUGAAGAUUCACCAUGUGUCCACUUGACCUUAGACAAUUUCUUAACCUCUCUGGGCCUCACUUUCCCCAUCUAUAAAAGGCGAACAAGUGGCCAGGUGUGGUGGCUCAUGCCUGUAAUCCCAGCACUUUGGGAGGCCAAGGCGGGUGGAUCACUUGAGGUCAGGAGUUCGAGACCAGCCUGGCCAACAUGGGGAAACCCUGUCUCUAGUGAAAAUACAAAAAAUUAGCCAGGCAUGGGUGGCACGCAC